rnacentral:snRNA from 1 species
CACGGAAUCGAGAGCUCCAA